CAAAACAUGUCUUAUUGAUUAUAAUUUUAAGUCGAUCUGCUCAAUGAAUUAAUUUAAUAGCUGCAGUAUAACUGACUGUGCAAAGGUAGCAUAAUAAUUUGAUUUUUAAAUGAAAUCUUGUAUGAAAGAAUUAAUGAAAUAUAUACUGUCUCUAAUUUAUUUAAUAAAUUUAAAUUUUUAAUAAAAAUGUUAAAAUUUAUUUAUGGGACGAUAAGACCCUAUAGAAUUUUAUAUUAAAUUAAAUUUAUAUAAUAAAUUUAAAUUUUAAUUUAAUAUUUAAUUGGGAGAAUUAUUAAAUUUAAUAAAUUUUAAUAAAAGAUAAACUUAAAUUAAAGAAAAAUUUUUGAUCUUUAAUUUAAAAUUAAUAGAAUAAAUUACCUUAGGGAUAACAGCGUAAUAUUUUUUUAUAGACCACAUAGAAAAAAAUGAUUGCGACCUCGAUGUUGAAUUAAGAUAAAUUUUAAAUGCAGGAGUUUAAUAAUUAAGUCUGUUCGACUUUUAAAAUCUUACAUGAUUUGAGUUCAAAUCGACGUAAGU
rnacentral:rRNA from 1 species